AUUGAACGCUGGCGGCAUGCUUUACACAUGCAAGUCGAACGGUAACAGGCCUUCGGGUGCUGACGAGUGGCGAACGGGGGAGUAAUGCAUCGGAACGUACCCAGAGGUGGGGGAUAACGCAGCGAAAGCUGUGCUAAUACCGCAUGUGAUCUGAGGAUGAAAGCGGGGGACCGCGCAGCAAUGUUUGGCCUCGCGCCUUUGGAGCGGCCGAUGUCGGAUUAGCUAGUUGGUGGGGUAAAGGCCUACCAAGGCGACGAUCCGUAGCUGGUCUGAGAGGACGAGCAGCCACACUGGGACUGAGACACGGCCCAGACUCCUACGGGAGGCAGCAGUGGGGAAUUUUGGACAAUGGGCGCAAGCCUGAUCCAGCAAUGCCGCGUGCGGGAAGAAGGCCUUCGGGUUGUAAACCGCUUUUGGCAGGAACGAAACGGUGUCCGCUAAUACCGGGCGCUAAUGACGGUACCUGAAGAAUAAGCACCGGCUAACUACGUG
rnacentral:rRNA from 1 species